UGACUUGGACAUAACUGAGACGUGUCAUAUCCAGAGGGGAAGCUUUGUACUCUAAAUUCUACCUUAUUCUCAUCAGACCCUCCUGGCGGUAUGAAUCAGUUCAGGUGUCGGGCCUGAUAAGAAUCCCCCAUCUCUGGCAAUUUGGGGAGUUCCUCUUGGAGAUAGUCCUUCUGUCAAACCAGGAGAAGUUCGGAUCAAGUUAGUCCUUUAGAUCUGCUGGUACUUUCUGAUCUGUGUUGUACAUGGUGGGAUUAUUUGUGCUUCUCUAACCUCACUUUUACCUAAAUUGUCUGAAUAUGUGAAGAAAGAAAGAAAUUAAUUUAACAGGCUAGGGAGGGAAAGGACUAAAUUACUCACGCGGUUACUAAAUCCACCUCCUGUAGGCACAGAAUGCAUGCUGUGUAGACUUGGUCAGAACGUACUCUUUUGAGUGAGGGCACGCAUGAUGUUUUGGACGAACACACCAAGAUCCCAUUUCCCUGAAAUCAGUUUUGCAGGUCUGUAGAACCCCCAGGUUUUCCGCCAGCUGUGGCCUGGAAGAGCAGCAAGCAGCGCAUCAUGGUCUGCGAGCCCGAGGUCUAAGCCUCAGAUGCCUAACAGUCCGCGAAUGAUAGGCUUGUAUGCGAAUCGGCAGUCAGGGACUAUCAUCCUUGUCACCUUUGAUCUUGAGUAUCACUAACAUUUGUUGACUUCUAGAGGGAGGAGUUAAGGUGGCCGGAAAGUAGGGGGACCAGGAUUUCCCUUGUCCCUCAAACACAGCUGUAUCAAGGUCAAAUCCCUUGGAACACCCAGGAAAUCAAGCUGCAGAGUGGCGGAAGGAUCUCCACAAGUGGAGAGAGACAGCUUGUUGACUUACAGAGGAAGUAGAGCAAAAACACAGUGAUGCACGUCAAGGUGGGGGACUCCUAAACGCACCCAGCCAAGUCUUCGCCUGCACACUGGAGGAAAAAAUGAUCCCUAAAUGGUUUUUCAUUCUAUGAGUCAAGCUCCAAUGCCUGUUUAUGAGCCAAGGGGACACUGUGGGGUAGUCCCGUGGAUCUGGACUCUGACCCUUUUCUAAGGCUUGAGUGAGCUGAGAAGGAAGAAGAGAGUUAAUACACCCCAGAGGGCAUGGAAUCAGCAGUCUCAUGACACUGCUAUUUUAAGACACUUCAAGAUUUGAAAUGAAUGAUUAAAGAUGGAACCAGCACAGCGAGAGGCAUCUCUUAUUCUGACCCCUCCAUAUACCAUCAGGAUGGCUGCUGAGGUGCCUGGGAGUCUUAGGGCCUCCUUCCAGAAACGAUGCCCCCUGCUGGCCCACAUGCAUGCAGUAGCUCACACACGCACGCACGCACACACACUCAUUCCUGAC